GUGCUCUAUUAGGCAGCACAUAUACUAAAACUGGAACGAUACAGAAAAGAUUAGCAUGGCCCCUGCACAAGGAUGACAUGCAAAUUCGUGAAGCGUUCCAUAUUUUU
ensembl:snRNA U6 U6 spliceosomal RNA